GGGGGACAGCACAAACAGAAAGCUCCCAGAAGAAAGAUUUCUGCAUUUGGUAAAGAUUUGCCCAGAAGGAUGCUUGGUUAUCUUUUUAUAACCUGCAAUAAUGGUUUCUUACAUUUCCUGAAAUAAAAAAUGGCUUCCUGAUAUAGGUAUUUGUUAAAAAUGUUUUAUUCCCUCAUCCAAAAAACCACCAUUUUAUUAUUAUCUUAAAGCUACUUGGC
rnacentral:lncRNA from 1 species